AGAGGAUAUAGAUUGCAGUGUGGAAAUACAGAAUCGCCAGAGUGAGGAACAUUUUGAUCGAUCCAGUAGCAAGUUUACCUUGUCGGGGAUGCUAAAUUUCAUCGACGGAUUAUGGUCAAGUUGUGGAGACGAAAGAAUCAUAAUAUUUACAACGAACCACAAGGAACGGUUGGAUCCUGCAUUGCUGCGGCCGGGUCGGAUGGAUGUCCAUAUAAACAUGUCGUAUUGUAGCCCUCAAGGGCUGAAAGUGUUGGCGUCGAAUUACCUAGGCGGGGAAGCGACUGAGCAUCGUAUGUACGGAGAAAUAGAAGAGUUGAUCGGAGAUAUGGAAGUAUCACCGGCAGAGAUUGCGGA
rnacentral:misc_RNA from 1 species